rnacentral:lncRNA from 1 species
GGAGGGGCUCCAGCUGCUGCACUGUGUGCUGCGAGACACAGGCGAGCCGAAUGCUCAUCCUUCGAGUGUACGUACAUCGAAAAUGAGAGGCACUGUCUCCCGUACCGGUUUUGCAGACUCCUCACGAACCCUGGAGUCAGGUGGACGCCCUCAACAACGAUGAGUUUCAGUGGAGAAGCGCACGCGUCAGCAUUUGUUCCUGAAUCGUCCCCUCCGUGUUUGCUGCGGUUUCCUUCGUCGAUGGACGCAGACCCCUCGCGCCCUUCCGUCCUCUCACCCAUGAGUCCGUGUAUGGUGGGGCCGAGGACUUGAUGUUGCAGAAGUAUAGACUGCUGGAGCAGCCCCAGAACUGCAGAGCAGGGAUACGACUCUUGACACGACGGACAUUUUUCUGGAAACCAAGCAGAAAACGGCUGUAGAUUCUCCUCGAUCUCUCUCCGUGUCUUCUCGACCUUCCCGGCUCUGUCCUCCGGAUCUUCGUUCCAGUUUCCCGCUGUGUCUGGACAGUCGGCGGUCUCCGGCUCCGUCUCACAGUCGUCCAAACGUUGUGCAGCGCCCCGUCUGCCGCCUCCUUCCCUCGCACACUUCGACCUUCCCUUCAGACUCUCCAGUUGCUCCUGGACCACGGAUUGCAGCUCGAAGGUGCUGUGGAACAAAAGCGGGUUCCGCGACUGGCUGAGCACUCGAGCAACCUUCCUCGUGUGAUCAGAAGACACGACCACACAGCCGUCCUCCAAACCGACGUCGUUCGAGGGACACUGUUCACUACACCGCUCUUCACUCAAAAGGCUAGCGUUCCGCGACCGAACGUUCUCCAUCAAAAGACGAGUCACAAGUGGCGCGAGCGUGCUCUUUCCGGUUCCUGACGGUCCUCCCAGAAGAAGCAGGACGGGUUUGUGUGGCGACUCAUCACCGCCAAGUCCAGACGUGCAGCGACUCCUCGAAGCCUCCCCCGUAUCGCCCUUGCCGCUAUGUGCACAGGUCUCCUUAGCGCGGCGAUUGGCUUUCUGAUUCACCAACGUAGCAGAGAAGUCUUCGACCCCCUUCAUCUCCCUGCCAGACACAGCAGUUCCAUGUUCUGCAGCGCGAGGCUCUUCGCUUCCAUCUGCCCUUCCACUUUGCUUCCCAUUCUCUCCUCCGUCUUCUCCUCCAUCUUUUAUUUCACGUGAUCUCAUUGGCCGAGGACUGUACCGCAGGCGAGUUGCAUGCACCCUGGCGGUUGCCUCCACGAUCGCCUCGCCGAGAAGCUUUGCAACCCCUCGAGGCAAACAGUCUUUCUCCGCUCGUGCCUCCGAGCACUGGUUUUCCGGCAGAGCAGCCUCUUUGCUUAAGGGAGAAAUUCCCGACGUCCUGCGGUCGCGCGUCACUCGCGUUGAACGAGAACUUUCGGGCCUUCUCUGUUCCGCAUACGUUUCGACUUCGUGGGCUUCUGUCGAAAAACACCACGGAUGGAACGGACGCAGGGUAGGGUAGACAAGAGCAGAUGUGACUAUCUCAUCUUGACGACGGACAGAGAUUUCGGGGAUCCGCGCUCGACAGAAGCGCACUUGGUCGAUUUUGUUUCGAAUAGCGGCAACUGGUGUGAAGCCGCGUGGACUUCGUUCUCCUGGCGUCCCCGCUGAAAUAUUAUGUCUCACAAACUCUGUCAUGGUUCCUGCUCGCGACGGAAUGCGG